ACGUGCUGCCAUGGUCAGACGUGGAUAAACAUUUGUACGGGCAAGGUGUGCUGCUGCGUAAUAAAUUUUGUUUAAGUGAUAUUGUAUUGAUAUAUAUAUAACCAUUGCUACUUAAAUCGAGUUUGAAUUAAUUAAUAUCGAAGAGCGAUAUUUAAUCUAUUGAAACCCAUUGGAUAUUGGGAAAAACUGACGAUGGAGCCUGUUCGCCGUCUAUACUACAACGACGACUGUAUACGUUAUAAGAAUUUCUACACGCUGCAGUGAAUUGGAAUCUUCAUGAUUCAAUAUUUUUAAUACUAAAUGAUAAUCAACGUGAACAGCUACCAAAUAUUGGCAAUAUUGAACAUCUAAACCUCAUUUUGCAGGAUCCUUAAGAAUCUGUCAAUUAUGUGUUGUUUUGUAUUCCAUUUGAUAUUUAUUUUUAUUUAAUAAUAAAUUUUAACAACCAUUAA